UACGUAGGGGGCAAGCGUUGUCCGGAUUUAUUGGGCGUAAAGAGCGUGUAGGCGGCUUGGUAGGUCUGCUGUGAAAACUCGGGGCUCAACCCCGAGACGUCGGUGGAAACCACCUGGCUAGAGUCCGGAAGAGGAGAGUGGAAUUCCUGGUGUAGCGGUGAAAUGCGUAGAGAUCGGGAAGAACAUCGGUGGCGAAAGCGCUCUGCUGGACUGCAACUGACACUCAGGGACGAAAGCUAGGGGAGCGAAUGGG
rnacentral:rRNA from 1 species